GGCCAGACUCCUACGGGAGGCAGCAGUGGGGGAUAUUGCACAAUGGGGGGAACCCUGAUGCAGCGACGCCGCGUGGGUGAAGGAGCGUUUCGGCGCGUAAAGCCCUGUCAGCAGGGAAGAAAAUGACGGUACCUGAAGAAGAAGCCCCGGCUAACUACGUGCCAGCAGCCGCGGUAAUACGUAGGGGGCAAGCGUUAUCCGGAUUUACUGGGUGUAAAGGGGGCGCAGACGGCGAUGCAAGCCAGGAGUGAAAGCCCGAGGCCCAACCCCGGGACUGCUCUUGGAACUGCGUGGCUGGAGUGCAGGAGGGGCAGGCGGAAUUCCCGGUGUAGCGGUGAAAUGCGUAGAUAUCAGGAGGAACACCGGUGGCGAAGGCGGCCUGCUGGACUGCGACUGACGUUGAGGCCCGAAAGCGUGGGGAGCAAACAGGAUUAGAUACCCGCGUAAU
rnacentral:rRNA from 1 species